rnacentral:rRNA from 1 species
GCUCAGAAUGAACGCUGGCGGCGUGCUUAACACAUGCAAGUCGUGCGCGAAGGCGGCUUCGGCUGCCGGAGAGUGGCGAACGGGUGAGUAACACGUGGGUAAUCUGCCUGGGAGUGGGGGAUAGCCUGGGGAACCUCGGGCUAACACCGCAUACGUUGUCGGGAUUUCGGUCCUGACAAGAACGCUGGCCUCUGCUUGCAAGCUAGCGCUCCAAGAGGAGUCCGCGGCUGAUUAGCUAGUUGGUGAGGUAAUGGCUCACCAAGGCGACGAUCAGUAGCCGGCCUGAGAGGGUGAUCGGGGACCCUGGGACCGAGACACGGCCAAGACUCCUACGGGAGGCAGCAGUGGGGAAUAUUGGACAAUGGGCGCAAGCCUGAUCCAGCAACGCCGCGUGGAGGAUGAAGGUCUUCGGAUCGUAACCUCCUGUCACAGGAUACGAACGUUCGUCGGUAACUAAUCGACGAGUUUGACGGUACCGUCAGAGGAAGCCACGGCUAACUCCGUGCCAGCAGCCGCGGUAAUACGGAGGGGGCGAGUGUUAUUCGGAAUUAUUGGGCGUAACGGGCGCGUAGGCGGCCUGGUAAGUCAACGGUGAACUCCAUCGGCUCAACCGAGGAAUUGCCUUUGAACCUGCCUGGCUUGAGGCCGGGAGGGGGUAGCGGAAUUCCAAGUGUAGCGGUGAACUGCGUAGAUACUGGGAGGAACACCGGUGGCGAACGGCGGCUACCUGGACCGGUUCUGACGCUGAUGCGCGAACGCGUGGGGAGUAACCAGGAUUAGAUACCAUGGUAGUCCACGCUGUAACCGAUGGGUGCUCGGUGUCGCG